rnacentral:rRNA from 1 species
UGAUGUGGAUUAAUCGAUGCAACGCGAAAACUUACCUACCCUUGACAUGCCACUAACGAAGCAGAGAUGCAGUUAGGUGCUCGAAAGAGAAAGUGGACACAGGUGCUGCAUGGCUGUCGUCAGCUCGUGUCGUGAGAUGUUGGGUUAAGUCCCGCAACGAGCGCAACCCUUGUCUCUAGUUGCUACGAAAGGGCACUCUAGAGAGACUGCCGGUGACAAACCGGAGGAAGGUGGGGAUGACGUCAAGUCCUCAUGGCCCUUAUGGGUAGGGCUUCACACGUCAUACAAUGGUGCAUACAGAGGGUUGCCAAGCCGCGAGGUGGAGCUAAUCCCAGAAAAUGCAUCGUAGUCCGGAUCGUAGUCUGCAACUCGACUACGUGAAGCUGGAAUCGCUAGUAAAUCCCGGAUCAGCAUGCCGGGGUGAAUACGUUCCCGGGCCUU